GGGCCGGUAGUUCAUCGGUAGAACGCCUCAUUCGCAUUGAGGAAGUAGUGGGUUCAAUUCCCAUCCGGUCCACCA
rnacentral:tRNA from 1 species